GUCGAGAAUCUUUCACAAUGGGGGCAACCCUGAUGGAGCGACGCCGCGUGGAGGAUAAGGUCUUCGGAUUGUAAACUCCUGUCAUGCGUGAACAAGGUUGCUUGGUUAAUACCUGGGCAAAUUGAUGGUAACGCAAGAGGAAGAGACGGCUAACUCUGUGCCAGCAGCCGCGGUAAUACAGAGGUCUCAAGCGUUGUUCGGAAUCACUGGGCGCAAAGGGUGCGUAGGUGGCGUGGUAAGUCAGAUGUGAAAGCCCGGGGCUCAACCUCGGAACUGCAUCCGAUACUGCCAUGCUAGAGGACUGGAGAGGUGACGAGAAUUCUCGGUGUAGCAGUGAAAUGCGUAGAUAUCGAGAGGAAUACCAAAGGCGUAGGCAGGUCACUGGACAGUUACUGACACUGAGGCACGAAGGCCAGGGGAGCGAACGGGAUUAGAAACCCGUGUAGUCC
rnacentral:rRNA from 1 species